AACAAAAUUCAGGAGAAAUUUCAAUUCCAACAAAUAUGUAUGCAAGUUGCAACCAAACACCACCUUAUUUUUGCCAUAGAAAAGUCAAUUGACUGUCCGGUGAUCACCGGAACCAAAAAAACCUUCUUGCGUAAUUCAAGCGCACAUAUUUUCUCCCCUCUUCGUCUAGCGUAUCACUGUGAUUCACCAAAGCCGAGGAAAUAAUGUCGAAUUCCGACACAAAUUCAACCGGAAAUGCACCAACUAAUAAUUCCAAUUUAAGAAAUUCGCCUGAAAAUGAUGAUAACAUCACGGGUAGUUCAGAAGCUCUAGCUGAAGGCAUUUCUACAAUGGUUGCUACUAUUAUUAGGGAUUUUGAUUACAAAGCUGAAGAUGCUUCUCGAAGCCAAACUCACCUCUUUUCUGCUCUUGAUCGUCUUACUUCUGAGCUCGAUCAGCUAUUGGAGGAUGUACCAUUGCCAUUUAUUAUGCAGCAUGCCACCAAGCUUUCUAAUAUCAGGAAAAGAGUGUCAUCAUUGAACGCAGUCUUGAGAUCUGUGCAACAUCGUCUUGAUAAUAUCGACUGUAUGAUGUCUAUUGGCUCAAUUGGUAUAACAGAGAUGAAGUUUUAAAAAACCAUAUGGAACACUUCAUCUGGUUUACUUAGUCUAAGACUUCACAAUAUUAUUCACCGCAAGCUAGAGACUAAAAUUAUGUUUGGUUUCUAAAAGCAGAUAAUAAAUCAAAUAUAGGAGGCGCCAAGUAAAGUCCUCAUAUAACAGGCUCUUUAUACAGGUAUUCCCAUUAGUUUGGCAUUCUCAGACAAUUUGAAUAUGGAAGAUUAAAUGUGGUCGUACAUGAUAUAGUCUUCCAGGUGUCGAUUUUUUGGUUCAACUCUCUAGAAUUGGAUUUACAUUCAGCUAAUUGUGCACAAGACUGUUUUCUCUUGGUGGAGCUUGAUUUGCUUUAUGUACAAAACUGAUAAGCUGGGUUCGUUUUCUCUUCAGUUUGGACAAAUGAAGCAUGCAUACUGUUGCCUGGGGUUUGUUCUUCCUCACUAAUUUUGUGGAAACAAAUGGUAUUGAACUUUUGUUUUGGAGACUUUUGUAUAACAAUCGCAGUAUUUGUUACACAAUUCAAAUUAUUCUGAGGGGGAACUACUGGCAUGAAAACCUUUUUAUUAUUCAUUCUAUUAUAUUAAUUUUCAAAUCA